UACGUAGGGUCCGAGCGUUGUCCGGAAUUACUGGGCGUAAAGAGCUCGUAGGUGGUUUGUCGCGUUGUUCGUGAAAACUCACAGCUUAACUGUGGGCGUGCGGGCGAUACGGGCAGACUAGAAUACUGCAGGGGAGACUGGAAUUCCUGGUGUAGCGGUGGAAUGCGCAGAUAUCAGGAGGAACACCGGUGGCGAAGGCGGGUCUCUGGGCAGUAACUGACGCUGAGGAGCGAAAGCGUGGGGAGCGAACAGG
rnacentral:rRNA from 1 species